UUUAGAGUUUGAUUCCCUGGCUCAGAUUGAACGCUGGCGGCAUGCCUUACACAUGCAAGUCGAACGGUAACAGGCCGCAAGGUGCUGACGAGUGGCGAACGGGUGAGUAAUGCAUCGGAACGUGCCCAGUCGUGGGGGAUAACGCAGCGAAAGCUGCGCUAAUACCGCAUACGAUCUAUGGAUGAAAGCGGGGGACUCGCAAGAGCCUCGCGCGAUUGGAGCGGCCGAUGUCAGAUUAGGUAGUUGGUGGGGUAAAGGCUCACCAAGCCGACGAUCUGUAGCUGGUCUGAGAGGACGACCAGCCACACUGGAACUGAGACACGGUCCAGACUCCUACGGGAGGCAGCAGUGGGGAAUUUUGGACAAUGGGCGCAAGCCUGAUCCAGCAAUGCCGCGUGCAGGAAGAAGGCCUUCGGGUUGUAAACUUGCUUUUGUACGGAACGAAACGGUCCGGGUAAUACC
rnacentral:rRNA from 1 species